rnacentral:rRNA from 1 species
UUUGGAAGAAAUUUGAUCCUGGCUCAGGACGAACGCUGGCGGCGUGCCUAAUACAUGCAAGUCGAGCGGACAGAUGGGAGCUUGCUCCCUGAUGUUAGCGGCGGACGGGUGAGUAACACGUGGGUAACCUGCCUGUAAGACUGGGAUAACUCCGGGAAACCGGGGCUAAUACCGGAUGGUUGUUUGAACCGCAUGGUUCAGACAUAAAAGGUGGCUUCGGCUACCACUUACAGAUGGACCCGCGGCGCAUUAGCUAGUUGGUGAGGUAACGGCUCACCAAGGCGACGAUGCGUAGCCGACCUGAGAGGGUGAUCGGCCACACUGGGACUGAGACACGGCCCAGACUCCUACGGGAGGCAGCAGUAGGGAAUCUUCCGCAAUGGACGAAAGUCUGACGGAGCAACGCCGCGUGAGUGAUGAAGGUUUUCGGAUCGUAAAGCUCUGUUGUUAGGGAAGAACAAGUGCCGUUCAAAUAGGGCGGCACCUCGACGGUAGGCUAACC